rnacentral:rRNA from 1 species
AUUGAACGCUGGCGGCAUGCCUUACACAUGCAAGUCGAACGGCAGCGGGGACUUCGGUCCGCCGGCGAGUGGCGAACGGGUGAGUAAUGUAUCGGAACGUACCUUUCAGUGGGGGAUAACGUAGCGAAAGUUACGCUAAUACCGCAUAUUCUGUGCGCAGGAAAGCAGGGGAUCGCAAGACCUUGCGCUGAUUGAGCGGCCGAUAUCAGAUUAGCUAGUUGGUGGGGUAAAGGCCUACCAAGGCGACGAUCUGUAGCGGGUCUGAGAGGAUGAUCCGCCACACUGGAACUGAGACACGGUCCAGACUCCUACGGGAGGCAGCAGUGGGGAAUUUUGGACAAUGGGCGCAAGCCUGAUCCAGCCAUGCCGCGUGAGUGAAGAAGGCC